UACGUAGGGGGCUAGCGUUAUCCGGAAUUACUGGGCGUAAAGGGUGCGUAGGUGGUUUCUUAAGUCAGAGGUGAAAGGCUACGGCUCAACCGUAGUAAGCCUUUGAAACUGGGAAACUUGAGUGCAGGAGAGGAGGGUGGAAUUCCUAGUGUAGCGGUGAAAUGCGUAGAUAUUAGGAGGAACACCAGUUGCGAAGGCGGCUCUCUGGCCUGUAACUGACACUGAGGCUCGAAAGCGUGGGGAGCAAACAGG
rnacentral:rRNA from 1 species